UGGUGGAGUGAUUUGUCUGGUUAAUUCCGAUAACGAACGAGACCUUAACCUGCUAACUAGUCUCACUCAUUUUAUGGGUGCUGACUUCUUAGAGGGACUAUGUAGCGUUAAGCACAUGGAAGUUUGAGGCAAUAACA
rnacentral:rRNA from 1 species